rnacentral:rRNA from 1 species
AGUGAACGCUGGCGGUAGGCCUAACACAUGCAAGUCGAACGGCAGCACAGUAAGAGCUUGCUCUUACGGGUGGCGAGUGGCGGACGGGUGAGGAAUACAUCGGAAUCUACUUUUUCGUGGGGGAUCACGUAGGGAAACUUACGCUAAUACCGCAUACGACCUACGGGUGAAAGCAGUGGAUCUUCGGACCUUGCGCGAUUGAAUGAGCCGAUGUCGGAUUAGCUAGUUGGCGGGGUAAAGGCCCACCAAGGCGACGAUCCGUAGCUGGUCUGAGAGGAUGAUCAGCCACACUGGAACUGAGACACGGUCCAGACUCCUACGGGAGGCAGCAGUGGGGAAUAUUGGACAAUGGGCGCAAGCCUGAUCCAGCCAUACCGCGUGGGUGAAGAAGGCCUUCGGGUUGUAAAGCCCUUUUGUUGGGAAAGAAAAGCAGCAGGUUAAUACCCCGCUGUUCUGACGGUACCCAAAGAAUAAGCACCGGCUAACUUCGUG